rnacentral:misc_RNA from 1 species
AACGCACAUUGCGCCCCUUGGCAUUCCAUGGGGCAUGCCUGUUCGAGCGUCAUCUAAACCCUCAAGCCCCCGGCUUGGUGUUGGGUGCCUGUCCCCGCUCCCCGCGCGGACUCACCCCAAAUGCAUUGGCAGCCGCCUCUCGGCUUCUUGCGCAGCACAAUGCGCAGCGAGGCGAGGUGAGGCGUGCGUCCAGCAAGCAACCUCCCAAGUUUGACCUCGGAUCAGGUAGGGAUACCCGCUGAACUUAA